rnacentral:rRNA from 1 species
UACGUAGGGGGCAAGCGUUGUCCGGAAUCAUUGGGCGUAAAGAGCGUGUAGGCGCCAGAAAAGUCCGCUGUGAAAACUCGAGGCUCAACUUCGAGCUGUCGGUGGAAACUUUCUGGCUAGAGUCCGGAAGAGGAGAAUGGAAUUCCUGGUGUAGCGGUGAAAUGCGCAGAUAUCAGGAAGAACACCCGUGGCGAAGGCGGUUCUCUGGGACGGUACUGACGCUGAGACGCGAAAAGCGUGGGGGAGCGAACAGG